AACGAACGCUGGCGGCAUGCCUAACACAUGCAAGUCGAACGAGACCUUCGGGUCUAGUGGCGCACGGGUGCGUAACGCGUGGGAACCUGCCCUUAGGUUCGGAAUAACUCCCCGAAAGGGGUGCUAAUACCGGAUAAUGUCUUCGGACCAAAGAUUUAUCGCCUUUGGAUGGGCCCGCGUUGGAUUAGCUAGUUGGUGGGGUAAAAGCCUACCAAGGCGACGAUCCAUAGCUGGUCUGAGAGGAUGAUCAGCCACACUGGGACUAAGACACGGCCCAGACUCCUACGGGAGGCAGCAGUGGGGAAUAUUGGACAAUGGGCGAAAGCCUGAUCCAGCAAUGCCGCGUGAGUGAUGAAGGCCUUAGGGUUGUAAAGCUCUUUUACCCGGGAUGAUAAUGACAGUACCGGGAGAAUAAGCUCCGGCUAACUCCGUG
rnacentral:rRNA from 1 species